CUUAUAAGGGUCAAGGCUAACUAAAUUAAUUAGUUGGGUCUAACUGUUUAUCAAUGCUUGGUCCAACCCAAUAUAAGCCCAUUUACACUUUGUCGACUUACUCAUUCAUCUUUGCUUGUUCACUCUCAAUUUAAUAAUAAAACAACUUAAUCACUUAUACAAGCCCAUAUUAAAUGAAUUAAUACGUAUUAUGCCCACCACUCUCCCUGAAUUUAAU
rnacentral:misc_RNA from 1 species